CUAACAGCAGCAGUCUUGGCCUGAGGCACAACUCAGUGUCCACAGAGCAGGACUGGGAGUCAAAGCUUGUCCAUGUGUCUGGAAAAACUGACCAUAGACAAAGGCUAAUGACAAUGUAGUUUUGAACACACAUGGACUCCACUGCCUGAAGCCUGAAGAGAAACAGGUACAGGACCAUCCAAUGAGGCAAUGUACCCAGGCUAAAAUCUGAACACUAAAAAGCCAAUGUAUACCUACUGAAAGUAGUGAAGGCCAAAUAUGGACCCUGAGAAUCCUGAGCUAAAGGUUGACAUGAAAGUACCCCAGGUAUAAGCAUAAACCUAAAGAUACAUGAUGCAUGAACCUCAAGUAAGAGGUGUUUCCUGGUCUACCAUUGACCAUUGUCCUGCCAAGGCCCAAAUGUAGAAGUGUGACUGGGACAAAUCCUGCAUUGAAAGAGGCCUGCACAAAAAAAAUUGAGUGGGCUAAAAGUAGAGUCUAAAGAAGCCCAGGCCCAAAUCAAGAAUAGAUUGGGCCCCUGGGCCAAUCCCUGAAUAUGAAAAGGUCAGUCCUACAGACAGAUAAUAUAUUGACAUGGGUAAAUUAUUCAAAUAAUAGAGGCCCAGGCCAGUCCAAGAAGAGGGAUGUGCCUGGGCCAAACUCUGACCCUGUAGAAGCCCAGGUCCAAAGCAAGAAGAAAUAUGGGCCUGGGCUAAUAGCUUACCCUGAAGAAGCCCAGGCCCAAAGCAAGAAGAGCUAAGGGCCUGGGCUAAUGCUGCACCCUUAAGAAUCCCAGGCCCAAAACAAGAAGAGAUGUGGGCCUGGGCCAUUCCCUGAAACUUAAGAUGCCUGGGCCCCGAAAGAGAUGAUAUAAGGGCCUGGGAUAAACCCCCAAAUAAAGAGGCUCAGAUUAAGCUACAAAAGGAGUAUGCCUGAACCAAACCCUAUCCCUGAAGAAGCCCGGGCCCAAAGCAAGAAGGGAUAUGGGCCCGGGCUAAUGCCUUAUGCUUUAGAAGCCCAGGCCCAAAGCAAGAAGAGAUGUGGGCCUGGGCCAGUCCCUGAAUCUUAAGAAGCCUAGGUUCAGAAAGAGAUGAUAUAUGGGCCUGGGACAAUCCCGAAAAUAAGGAGGCUCAGGUUAAGCAACAAAAGAAGUAUGCCUGAGCCAAACCCUAUCCUUGAAGAGGCCUGGGCCCAAAGCAAGAAGAGAUGUGGGCCUGGGCCAGUCCCUGAACCUUAAGAUGCCUGGGCCCAGAAAGAGAUGAUAUAUGGGCCUGGGACAAUCCCAAAAAUGAUAGAGGCCCAGGUUAAACAACAAAAGUAAUAUGCCUGGGCCAAACCCUAACCCUAAAGAAUCCUGGGCCCAAACCAAGAAGAGUUGUGAGCCUGGGUCAACACCUGAAAUGACAGAGGCCCAGGAAAAACCAAGAAAUGGAGUGAGUGCAACCAAAUUCAACCCCUGAUUCUCAGUACAAUUAGUAAAGUAAAAUCAUUCUGGGUUAACCCCUCACCAAAGAGAUCUGGGCCCAAACAAAGAGCACUGUGCCCACACCAAAUCUAAAGUGAAAAACAUUGUGGAUAAGAGUAUAUACCAUGAGGCUCUUUGAUCCAAGGCCUUAGUUUCAAUUGGUAUACUACAACCAAGUAGGUAUUAAUAUGCAGACAUAUGCCGGCUUGAACAUCGAUAACGUUGGACUUGCCCGCAAUACUUUCUGUACUAAUGGCUGAUAUAAAUGGACAACCUGAAUAUUUAAUAUGUGCUUCUAACACAUAUACUUCAUUCAAUCCAGGCAACAUCCUCAACAUGUGAGCAAGGAAGAUACCCUCACCAUAAUACAACCAGGGCUCACUAAAUAACCUAUCAGUGUAGACAGUGUAGAUCAGAUGUAGACAUCAAUGUAGACCAAAAGAGGUGUUAUGCUUCACCCUGUAGCUGUCUGACACAAGAACUUACCUUGACUUAGAUUGAUUUUUUUUUUUUUUGGAAACAUAUUUCUUGAAUGUACCUGUAAUGAAGAAUAUUGGACUAAUCACAGUUGGUCUUGUUCUGACUAACAUUUGGACACAUCAAAUCCUCAAAGAACCAGAUCUUUAUGAUCACCUGAUUAUUAACACAGAUGAAAGGACUUAUACAGACCUCAAAGGGACAGGGCUGCUCCUCGAGCCCCCAAAGCGUGGGCUAAUAUCGUCAUCAAGGGUGUGUGGACUAUACCCUCUUUCUAUGCAAUCUAGGACAAAAUCCUACCACAAAGGAGUGAUGCCUUAAAGGGACCAAACCUCACCUUAAUGACCAAAGGAAAUGGACAUACCCACGACCCUGACCUGGUCUGACCACCAGGCAUUACCUUCAUGCUAGUUUAUUUUGUAGGAUAUCAAUGGGAACUCAGGGCUGUUUGACCACCAAGAACCUUGGGUCAAAUUUCAAUUGUGUUUGGGCCACACCCACUCUUCUUCCAACCCAGGCUCCAUUAACAAUACAGGGGAGCCAGGACCAAAUGACAUCCUUGACUGUGUCCGAGCCACAAAUGACCAUCAAGCCAUGUGGGCAGACCUUGUACUUAGGGGUGUGUGGGCCGCACCCUUAUUUCAAGUCUGACCACAUGCUGUCUGGACUCCAAGAAAUACAGGAGAAGUUAAUGUGAGUGUGAGUUAGCCCGCAAGAAACCCUCUAACAAGAAUGGACCCACUGUACUAACAAAAGCAUUGAUGGUUUAAUCAUUGAAUUUCAACAUAUUACCUUCAAGAUGUAUAGACUAUGCAGCUAAGGCAACCAUGCUCAAAUGAGGGAGUCAAGACUACCUCACAGCCUUCACGACCAUCUGGGUCACAUUUGAAUAUCAAAUAACAGGCACACAUUGGGAUAGAGGGUGUGUGGGCCGCACCCAGGAAUGCCCUGUGCUCAGGUUUUAUCAGGAUUACAACAGAUCAAGGACAGCACUUUGAUCUCAAGUGUGACUUAGAACACAUAGUACUCCAAGAAGGUUGGACACAUUUUAACACCAUGGGAUGGUGGUCUGCAGAAUGACAUCAUAGAAAAAGACCUUAAAGUGACAUCGGUGGGAUCCUGCCAGCCAUUCAAUAUCAGUGUGAGCUGGGGGCUAACUUACCACCAAGAAGCCUGGGUCAAAAUUAACUUUGAGGGUUGUGGACCUCACCUCUCUCCAUCAAACUCAAGAGAUAAGCUUAACUAGGAGGAUCCAGGACCACAAAACAUGGCCUUCAUGAUGUCUGGGUCACACCAGAGAAGCAACCUGGGCAGACUUUACCAUGAUGGGUGUGUGGGCCGCACCCAAGUGUCAUGAUUUGCCCAGCCACUAUCUUGUCUACAAGAGAUCAGGACAAGAUGAUCUCAUGUGUGACUUAGCCAACACCAAGAACUCAUAAGAAAUUGGAACAACCACAACAACCAGCAUUAGUGGUCUGCUAUGUGACUUUAGCCUCAUGAACUUCACAAACCUCACAAGAUUAUGGUCCAAACCCUCUUAGUCUGACAUCCCAGGUUCCCUUCCCAUUCCCUAUUGACCUUGGUUCUCAACCUGACCUGAUUGGAAACACCAAGUAACCCACUGGGUUAAGAAUGUGAUGGAACACUAGUCUAGACAUAACCUUAAUGCUAAUUAGUAAUGGGAAACCUUGAAGGCCCUCCUCUGGAGGCAUGUUUUUGGCAUGCUCACUGUCUGGAAGUAGUUACUGAGAAUUCCUUAAACUCUCACCAGAGCCUGCCUAAAGGAAGAUGGAAUUAUACAGUGAUUUCUAUAAAUCUCUGCCUUCAUCUUCUGUAUAGAAAACAGUUCUGAAGAUGUGUAGUCUUAUAUUAUUAUUAUUGUGCAUUUCAUGCCCUAGCCUUAUGUAUAUAGUAUUCAAUAAAUGUGAGGUUCAUCUGGAACCAUGGUUUA